AUGGGGAAGAAGAACUUGCCUGCGCGAUGGAGACUUCCAGCGUUGGUCAUGUGGCUCAUCCUCCUUUGCGCACAGGAUGCACUCGCCAAAACUCUCCAGUGUAAAGAGAAUCAGUACCUUAAAGACUCCAAGUGUUGUGACAAAUGUCGACCAGGUUACUAUGUGUACUCUCACUGUACUGAUUCUCAGCGGACUAAAUGUGUCAAAUGCAAUCGUGAUGAAUAUCAGCCUGUCUGGACAGAAGAAAUGCAGUGCGUUCAGCAGAAGUUCUGUGAUCCAGGUAAGGGUUUUAUGGUGAAUAAAGAGAACCCUGUGGCUGAGGAACCAUGCCGCUGUAGGCCCAACUUACAGUGUUACCACAUCAAUUGUGAAUUCUGCGAAAAACUACCCACCUGUAACCCUGGUUCUGGCCUCGAAGAUGACCCCGGUGAGAUCUGCACUCCAUGCAAUAGCGGCUUUUUCUCCGCUCAUCGUAAUUCUGAGCAAUGUACAACCCCCCCUUGGGUUUUAGUUUCUGUGCUGUCAGUCCUAAUUGUUCUGUGUCUCCUCCUUCUGCGGCUCUUCUGCUACAAGGACAAACUGAAGUUGCUCUCCAGCCAAAAUGCUUCACAACAACCAACAGAAAAAGGAGGGAUGGAGGAAAAGACGGCUGCAGAGACUCAGAGCGAGGGAUCUGGAGAACCAGAAGAGGUGUCAGAAGAAGACUUUUCAAGUGUCUCUCCACUUUUGGCAGGUUCCUGUGUGUGUGUCAUUCCAGUCUGUGAGCCACUGGAAGUAGGGGAGAAUGAGGACUGUAGCCAGGCUGUGAGUCCUGGGAUGACAGGAACCUGCUUGUGUGGGGCUCAGGUGAUGGAGCAGCCCAGAUCUGACCUGACGGACGGAUCACCGGUAAAAACAGUGGAAUUAUACACACAGACAAGUUUACACUCCACCUUUAAAGGAAAUAGCACAACCUCCACUGUGACUUUAGCCAGCCCCUCAUUAACUUCUGCAUCGGUUGGAGAUCUUUACCUGGAAAAGCCGCCUGAGUCCUCAAGCGCAGAUCAAAGCCUGGGACCUUCCUGGAGGAAUAGCAGGGAGAAAAGGUUUCCUCUGGGAGACUCGGAACUGGAAUGUUCACCAGAGAGUCUUGUGUCUGGAAACAACAAUACUACCUUCAUCUCCAGCGGUCAGGUGAUGAAUUUCAGCGGUGAUGUCAUUGUCGUGUGUGUCAGCCAAACAUCUCAUGACGGUGACGAGGAGAGGCAGGGUGACGCUAUUGGGAGCCCUGUGCAGGAGGAGUCUAGCCAAACGGCGCAGUUUUUCCAGAGCAGGUGUCGAUCACAAGGGAACUACACUACCCAUAACACCUUGCAAGAACUGACAAUGCCAAUGAUGCAGGGAAAGUAA
rnacentral:lncRNA from 1 species